CUCGUACGCCUGCUGCGGACAGAUCAGGUGAAUGUGCGAGUCGAAACCGCCGGCAGUCACGAUCAGGCCUUCUCCGGCGACGACGUCGGUACCGUUCCCGACGAUGAGGUCCUUGUGCACGCCCGCCAUGACGUCGGGAUUUCCUGCUUUGCCGAUACCCUUGAUCACGCCGUGCUUGAUGCCGAUGUCCGCCUUGUAGAUGCCCGUCCAGUCGAUGAUGAGGGCGUUCGUGAUGACGGUGUCGAGAACCUCCUCGUCGCGUCGAUCGCUAGCUUGACCCAUACCCUCGCGGAG
rnacentral:sRNA from 1 species